rnacentral:rRNA from 1 species
CAGUCGCCACGGUAAUACAGAGGGUGCGAGCGUUAAUCGGAAUUACUGGGCGUAAAGCGAGUGUAGGUGGCUCAUUAAGUCACAUGUGAAAUCCCCGGGCUUAACCUGGGAACUGCAUGUGAUACUGGUGGUGCUAGAAUAUGUGAGAGGGAAGUAGAAUUCCAGGUGUAGCGGUGAAAUGCGUAGAGAUCUGGAGGAAUACCGAUGGCGAAGGCAGCUUCCUGGCAUAAUAUUGACACUGAGAUUCGAAAGCGUGGGUAGCAAACAGGAUUAGAUACCCGAGUAGUCCCUGUCUCUUAUU